rnacentral:rRNA from 1 species
ACGGAAGGCAGCAGUGGGGAAUAUUGCACAAUGGGGGAAACCCUGAUGCAGCGACGCUGCGUGAGUGAAGAAGUAUUUCGGUAUGUAAAGCUCUAUCAGCAGGGAAGAAAAUGACGGUACCUGACUAAGAAGCCCCGGCUAACUACGUGCCAGCAGCCGCGGUAAUACGUAGGGGGCAAGCGUUAUCCGGAUUUACUGGGUGUAAAGGGAGCGUAGACGGUUCUGCAAGUCUGAUGUGAAAGGCAGGGGCUCAACUCCUGGACUGCAUUGGAAACUGUAGAACUAGAGUGCCGGAGAGGUAAGCGGAAUUCCUAGUGUAGCGGUGAAAUGCGUAGAUAUUAGGAGGAACACCAGUGGCGAAGGCGGCUUACUGGACGGUAACUGACGUUGAGGCUCGAAAGCGUGGGGAGCAAACAGGAUUAGAUACCCUGGUA